UACGUAGGGUGCGAGCGUUAAUCGGAAUUACUGGGCGUAAAGCGUGCGCAGGCGGUUUUGUAAGCCAGAUGUGAAAUCCCCGGGCUUAACCUGGGAAUGGCAUUUGGGACUGCAAGGCUUGAGUGCGGCAGAGGAGACUGGAAUUCCUGGUGUAGCAGUGAAAUUCGUAGAUAUCAAGCGGAACACCGGUGGCGAAGGCGGCCUUCUGGACAGUGACUGACGCUGAGACGCGAAAGCGUGGGGAGCAAACAGG
rnacentral:rRNA from 1 species